UCAGAGGGAAGCUGUACAGUCCUUCAGAGCUCCCUGAUCACAGCCAUCCAGCAGCUCAUAUCCCCAACUCACCGAGUGGUUAAUGCUCAGAUGUGGGUACAAGCAGCCUUUCAACAGGGAACUUUACAGUUGAAUUCAAGCCUGUCCUUACCCGAUGUUCUAUGGAUGUGGCUGAAAACAGCAUAUUGACAAAUCAACAGACUGAUCUUAGAGUGUUGCUGAUCUGUCAGGGAAAUGGAAAAGUACAAGAUGGUGGAAAUGGCAACAUAGUUGCUUCAGACAAUGAAAUAAUAAAGCAUCAGUAGUUCCUAACGAGGGGUACAACUUAAUCCACAGCACAUCAUCAAGGUUGUGGGCAAACUGGUGCAAGACAACAGACAGAAUGGAUUAUCUGGCAAACAACCGAGGUUUCAGCCUGAUCCUGAAUUUCCUUCUAAUUAUCGUCAUGUUGUUAUUGAUGUUUAUUAUUGUUAAACUCAUGUGAUUUUCUCAUCUACUGAAUUCUACGUACUGAAGACCAUGUGUAGUUACUGUUGCUUUCGGAUCUGGGAAGAAGAAUCCAAUCAAAAUGUAACCACGAACCCAAGAUCUACUGGAGUCUCCAAUUUCCCCUAAGACCUUUGCAAUAACUACUUCUUUCAAAAUGCUCCAACUGCUGUCUGGACAAACCACUUAAGACAAACGAAACCUGUUUGAAUGUAUGAUUAUUUUCAACGUACAUACUCAAUAAUUCCAAAAGCACAUUGUUUUGCUAUACUAUUGAAAAUAUGUGGAAUCAAAAUUGAUGGAUAUUAGCCGAUAACGAGCAAGUUUUCAUUUGUAGAUCUUAAGUGUAUCAUUCAUAGACUUAAGAAAGAGGAGGAGGAGUAGGUCAUUCGGCCCUUAAAGCCUGCUCUGCCAUUCAGCAUAACCAUGGCUUAUCACCCAACUCAGUACCCUGUUCCUGUUUUCUCCUCAUAGCUUUUGUUACCUGUAGCCCCAAGGACUAUAUCUAAUUCCUUUUUGAAAACAUUCAACAUUUUGACCUCAACUGUUUUCUGUGGUAAAGAAUUUCAUAGGCUCUCACCAUUCAAAUGUGUGUACUCGCUUCAAUGUAUCAAGGCAAUGUUAAAAGCUGAAAUUGGUGAAAAAUGAUACCAUUAUACAUCCAAAGGCUGUACACAUUGUUCAAUAUCAGAACUUAGUGACAUUUCCAAGCCCAACAUUCAGAAAUAUAAUAUCAAUACAGUUAAGAUGGAAGAAAAUUUCUGUGCACUACUAAUUACCGCUCUGGACUAAAUCUGAUGGUCACCUGUCUUAAUUUCUCCCCAACACAGACUGAUGUCCAGUCCUAUACCAUGUUUUCUUCAUUUGUGAAAUAGCUUGAGACAAAGGUAGUGUUGGUCCUUGUCAGGAAGAUUUAUUCCACUGUAGAUUUCAAACUAGUCUUAAUUCUGAAAAAUAUUUAUAAUGUAGAUAGUACCUAACACACUGGAUUCAGUUUGGAGUAAAUAGCAACCAGAAGGUAAACUCUGAACACAUUUACUCAUAUCCUUUGUUUCCACACAUUAAGCUGAAUAUAAAGUUAAGUUAUGUCAUUCCUUUGACAUCCAAGCUGUGACUUUCACUUGGAGCAAAUAGCAACCAGAAGGUAAAUUCCAACUGCAUUUAACAAUACUCUGUGUUUCUACAUUUUAAGCCGAAUGUGGAAUGAUGUCAUUUCUUUGGACUUCAGAUUGUGAUUUUAAUCAUCCUGACAUUCUGAAGCCAAAGCUCCCCCAACAGUAACUAAGACAAUUUAGAUGCAAACUAAUUGCAAAUUAGAGUCUGUACCGAUUGCCUCAUUUGAACAUGUUGAAAGGGCAUAAGAAUAUCACAUUCAAGAAGAUUCAAGUUUUGUGCUUGUUUCACUAAAUUUAAUGCAUUUCAAGUUAACACAUCCUGAACAAAUUCUCUUAAUAUGCAAUGCAAAUUACACUCUGGUGAGGAAACAGUUUCAGCCGUAUGAUGUGUUCAAAAAUAGACUGAGGAAUUUAACCCAUGAUCUCCUCAUGAAAACCUAACCGAGGGUGGAAUGCUUAUUAGCUUUCUUUAUGUAUUUGUAUGUUGCCUCCAGAGAUCAUACAACAGAAAUGAAAAAUUUUUACUGUAAGCAUUCUUCGUUAUAAAAUUACUACACAAGGAAAAUACUUAAGAUCCUGGGGGUAUUCAGUACUGUGAAUCUUCACAUUGUGAGGUAAAUUCCUGCGACAGAGCACCAGAGAUACAAAUCAGUAGCAUUUGCACAAUUGAUCUUGUGAAUUUACAAACUGCAUUUUGUAAGUGAACUUAUGAUUUGCAAAGCUUUUGUUAGUUGGAAAGGCACAUCAGCUAGUGAUUGGAAGGGCACAACACUAAUCAUUAUUGGCAGGCAGCAUUUAUAUUUGACAUUAUGCCUUUUUGUCUCUAGAAGAGAUAGCCUCUAGACACUGCCUCAUUUAGUUUUGAUACUUCACUUAAUUUGCAGCAUUAUUGCUAAAGUCAAGGUAUUCAUAAAUGGCUGCACUAAAAAUAGGCCAUUGGAAUGUCUUGGUGUCAGCACUGUGAGGUGCUCAACUUUUAUGGCUAAGAUUAUAUGUUAAGGAAUUAACUAGAGUAGAUUGUUGGUUCCUCACUGUGGUAUGAGUGGAUUAAAAAAGCAAGGGCAUAUACAUUUUGUGAUGCAGAGAUAACAUACACUCACAGCAUCCAAAUUGUUUCUCCAAAUGUGAGGAUUUAAAGGAAUUAUCCUGUAGCUUCAUUUUAUUCUUAAAAGUGUACCAGCGUCUGUACAAUACUUUCCAAGAUUUGUCAACCUGGUCACCAGUGUCACCGUGACAUUAGUAUAUCACAUAGCACUUUGGAAGGAACUAGCAUUUUCAAAACUAUGCUCAGAAAGUUCAAACUACAAUAGAUGGAGCAUCUGUCACCACGGGUAAUCUGACUGAGCAACUCAAGUUUGGAAACAACCAAUGUGCAAAUGUUUAUUAUUUAAGCUCAUGCUUCUCUGUUCAAUAAAUUAUUUCACUUUUGGCUACUCAUACUGUGGGUCAAUUAAUAUUUAUAAAAUUUGUCAAGAUUGUGUAUUUAAGGGAGUAAACAUUCCUUGCCCUGCAGAGAUGAAUUUCAGAAACAGGACUGGGAACAAAGUUGCAAAAUAGCACAUCCGAUCAGCUGUUUGGCAUGUUCUCAUCUCUGAGGAAGUGUUGGAGGCUACAUUAAUGCUGUAGGGACCACAGGCCCAGCAGCAGAGGGUAACUAAACAAAUCCAUCUAUGGACCAAAUGGGGGCACAUUGAUUGUGCUGUUGGUGUCUUCCUGAUAGUAGACAGGGACUCAAUGUCUGACUUUAACUCAAAGCAACAUACUUGCUGCAGGCUGGACAGCAUUGACUCCUCUUACUCAACCCACUACACAGCUACUGGAAUGUGACAAUCACAGCCAAAUCCUAAGUCUACCCUGUGGAGGAGCUCCCCCUCCAUUGAGGUGGCCUGUCAGCUGUUGCGAUGAAAUGUUUUCAUUUUUCUCAAUGCUUAAGAAGGAACUUCCAUUUUGCGGCACCCUUGCAAUCUCUUGCCUGCCUCAGCAGCUCCUACAUCUCCCAGUGGAGCAAGCAGUUGGACAUUGUUGUGGAUCCUGCUAUUAGGCCUUCCAAUUACCUAGGCUGCUUGCCAUUCCUAAAUAUCCUGGGGUCGUUGAGGAUUAUUCAUAAGCAGUCACCUCCAGGAACAUUGAA